rnacentral:lncRNA from 1 species
UAUUUUCUGGUUAAUAAGGCUGUCUUUUACUUGACUACACAAGCUCCAAGUGCAGGGUGUGCACUGUUAUUGGAAAGAAAUACCCAAAAUGAAUCCACAGUUGGUCCCAGGGCUGGGGAGAGAACUUGACUUCUGGAAGCCCAACUUUGUGUUCCUGUCCCUGAUUAGGAAAACCUUGUUUGGAGCUGAGACGAAGAUGUCCUCAUUGUGGAAGGAAGUGUCUACAAGCAGCCCAUUAAACACGAAGCCCUGCUGUUGAGUCUCGUGGAUGCCGUCAUGCAGGGAAGCCUUGUCUGGAGGUGUGCAAUGCCAGGAGAGCAACUCACCAAAGAAGUUCUUGUGAUAUGCUGGUGGUUUCC